AAACAUGAAGCAAAUAAGCAUUUAGUUUCGACCUAAAAUAUUGAUUAAUAUCCUUGUUUA
rnacentral:tRNA from 1 species